rnacentral:rRNA from 1 species
AUUGAACGCUGGCGGCAUGCCUUACACAUGCAAGUCGAACGGUAACAGGUCUUCGGAUGCUGACGAGUGGCGAACGGGUGAGUAAUACAUCGGAACGUGCCCGAGAGUGGGGGAUAACGAGGCGAAAGCUUUGCUAAUACCGCAUACGAUCUCAGGAUGAAAGCAGGGGACCGCAAGGCCUUGCGCUCACGGAGCGGCCGAUGGCAGAUUAGGUAGUUGGUGGGAUAAAAGCUUACCAAGCCGACGAUCUGUAGCUGGUCUGAGAAGACGACCAGCCACACUGGGACUGAGACACGGCCCAGACUCCUACGGGAGGCAGCAGUGGGGAAUUUUGGACAAUGGGCGCAAGCCCGAUCCAGCCAUGCCGCGUGCAGGAUGAAGGCCUUCGGGUUGUAAACUGCUUUUGUACGGAACGAAAAGACUCUGGUUAAUACCUGGGGUCCAUGACGGUACCGUAAGAAUAAGCACCGGCUAACUACGUGCCAGCCGCCGCGGUAACAC